rfam:Cutibacterium granulosum DSM 20700 contig063, whole genome shotgun sequence.
GGGGAUGACUGGUUUCGACUUGGAACGGUGGUUCCAGGAGAAGCGGGCCGAGAAGCCAGGGUCAACUCGUUAACGAUCCCUGGAAACCAAUAAGUGCCGAUAACAAUCGCACUGACUUCGCUCUCGCCGCCUGAUCGGUGAUCGAAGGGUCAGCCCGGGUGUGGUCCUCCGCCCGGAUCCUGGCCUCGUUGAGAGGACUUGCUGCUCAGCUGUGUCGUAGCGGCUGAGUGGGACUUUUUCUGCGACUGGGCCUGUCUGCACCGUGUCGGUGCGAGUGCAGGGGCCGAGCAACACGACAGCAUCGACUGCGCCCGGAGAAUGUCUGGUUCGCCUUUCAAGGACGCGGGUUCAAUUCCCGCCAUCUCCACCA